CCCGUAAACCGUUGACAACAUUGCACAGAUUAGUUGUUGUAGUUAGCUGAUACGUGUUUUAUGACUCCUUUUGUAACUCUCCAAGAGAGGAAAGAGAGCACAAGAAUGGAAGAACCAAUAUUUUUUUAAGCUGCUCUCAAAUCCUUUGAGUUAAGAAGCAAUCUUCUGUCUGCUUGAUCAGAAAAGCUUCAUUGUUGCUGCUAUUUUUCUUUUUCAAUUUUUUUUUUCCCCCUUAAAGGCAGCCUUAAUGUUUCCAAGUUUUGAUUACUGUGUCUUGUGGGGUUACUUCCAGGUCAUGGAGCUCUAAAGAAUAUAUGAACCGGAUUGUGAAGGAAAGGAGGGAAGCUUAAAUAUUAUUUUAUAGUGUGUAUGUAUAUAUGUAUAUAAUAUUAUAUAUAGUAUAUAAUAUAUACUCUUAUUUUCUAGCACUCAGAAGAGGAGGCAUGUUACGUCAUGGUUACAAAAGUGUAGUUUUAGGCAUGACUAAGUGACUGAGGUUUAAUGCAAAGGGGAUGAGGUGAGUAAGAAGAGAGAGGAACUGGUAUGCAAGGUGAGGGAAGUUACAUGUGAAUUUCUCAAUUUUAUUUGAAAGAUGAGAAAUAAAGACACAACAAUUUGUUGCUGACUCAUCUCUUCCAGCACAUAACCAAAGCCCUGAUACAUGAGAAGUAGGACUGUGUGUUGUAGUGGACCUCCUGCCCUAUCCUUGUUGGGCAGAGGGAGGGGACCUAAGAGAUGGGGAGGAAUGGAAACAAGUCUCAGCUCAGCAUCACAGGCAAACCCCCUCCCUUCCUACCUUAAUUCCCCACAGAGUGCGUGUGCUCUCCUGAACCAUGUGCUGGGGGCAUGCAUUCCACUUGGCAUCAUUUGUGAGAUUUAUGUUAAGAGAUUAAAAAAAAAAACAAAACAGAAAAAAUAUCUGAGAGGGAGAUUUUUCCUUCUUAACUUAAACAGCCUACAAGACAGCUGUUCAUGCUGCUAUGAUGGACGUGAGGUUCCCAAAGAACAGUGCAACGUGUUUAUGGCUGUUGCAGUUCUCAGCUGUCAGAGGGUCAGCCAAAGAACUGGUAUGAGCUGCACAAUCUCAGCCAAGGCUCCCAAGGGCGUGCUGAAAGACUGACUUGCUGCUAAUCUGUUUAUCCCUGCUCCCUGCUGAGGUAUCUGCAAUGGAGAACGGGUAUGCAAGAACUGGCUUCCAUUAAAGUUCCUAAAGAGGAAUUUAAAUAAUAGAAGAUUAAGAAUGCUUAAGCAACAAAAGAGGAUGUGAUUUCUCUAAUUCGCUGCUUGGUUUCAAAAGGACAGUGCUGGGAGAAAUUCAGGAUAUUUAGAGAAUAAAUCCCACUUCUGUCCUUAGCUUGGACAAGGGCAGGUUAUCAGGCUAGUUCUCAAAUAAGCCCAGGAUGUUGUUGCAGCCUUUGUGAUGAUUCUUGCUUUGGCACUCUGAAGUCAGUCCUGCACGUCCUUGCUGCUGAGCAGCCCACCAGGUUGUGUGUGACUUUGCAAGUGUGUUUCUUUGCUGCUGCUGUGAGGAGCAGGAGGUAAUUGUUGUGGCUUAGUGAGCUACUAUCUGUUAGGUGAGCUCUUCAACCAUUGCAAACAUGAAAGCUGUCGAAGUUUUUUUGGGGGUAGGGCGUUGUUUCUGCCCCCUGCCCACAGCUGCACUUUCUUGUUUAUCUGAGCUUACAAGAAAUUGAGUCAGGCUCCUCUGUUGCCCUACUUACUCUUACAGCAUGGGUGGGGAACAAUCAUUUUCAGGGUUUGCUUGAAACUCCCUACUCACAUCCUGUAGAGACCCUGCUUGCUGCACUGGAGAAAGUGAGUCAGGAGAGGCUGUUGAAGGAGAAGAGAGGAUGAUAAUUGCUUGAUCCAGCUGGGACCACGUUAGGUAUCAUUAGGUCUGCUUGUGGAGCUUGUGUCUCCUCCUUCCCUGCUCUUGAAGCAUUUAUUAUGUAUUACAUGCAUUCCCUUCUGGACAGGGGAGAGCUUGUGGGCAAGACCUGGUAUGAUUCAUCCAGCAGUAAAUGUAUCCAUACAGUUACUGUAUCCAGUGCUGUCCCAGUACCUGGCAAGAUCAUCUAGACAGUGAUACAAUAGAAAUAACUGGUGCUGUGCACUGGACCUUGAGAUGUGUGACUUGUGUUUUGAUGCUAAUGUAACUUGCUGGCCUGACUGUUCCUGGUUCCCAGGAAGCAUGUAUGAUAGUAAAGAUACGGUGAUGGAUGCCCAGUCUGAGACAGCCCCAUCAAGUACCAGAUUAUGACCAGGACCUGGCAUAGAGCCUGCCUAGGAGAACAAAUAAAGCCAUUCCACACAACUCCCACCUUUCUAUUAUGCUAGGAAACCUAAUUAAAAACCUUUCUAAGUAUACUUAUUAAGUACUUUUUAAGUACUUAUACGUAUUAAGUAUACUUUUUAAGUAUAAGUAGCAGAACCAUGAGUCUUUUAGGAGUUUUGUAAUUUCCACUCUUCUAGCUUGUCUAACAAAUUAGGAAAUAGAAAGCAUCAGAGAACCUGUAAAGGGGCUUGGAACCUUGUACCGAUGGCCCCCAACAGCAUUCACUCCUUCUGGUACCAGGCAGUUCAUCAAAGGGUGCAGGCUGUAUGAGGUGAUGUGAGCUCCUGUCUCUGUGUGCUAGUCCUGCAGGACGCUAGCCUUUAAAGGUCUAGGUGCCAUGUCAGCCGAAGUUAUUCACGCCACCACCAUCCUUAGACUUCAUGGAGAGCUAAGUGGACAGAAAUUCAGUGCUGCUUAUGGGAGGGAGCUAGAUGUGUUGGAGAGAAGGGUGGGAUGGUGAUGACUUGGCAGACCACAAGACUGCUGUGCUCAAGGCUGCUGUUUGUAACUGUUAGGUGUGAAUGAAGAGCAUACCCAAGAGCUGUACAACCACUGAAUUCUGUGAAAAAUCCUAAAGUGGGCACUUCGAUAGCAGCAGUUUCAUUUCUGUAUUUCAGCUCACUGCCUGUAAACCACGUUUAGCAUGUAACUUUAUAGAACACUGUGAAGCAAAGCGUGCUAAGUUUUUCACAGUACUCAUAGUGGAGUUACACCAAGCAUCAAGAGACUAACGAAACUGGGCCAGUUGUGAGUCUUGCCCUCUACCCACCCAUGGUCAGGGCAACUCAGCACACCUGGCUAUUCAGGGGGAGAGAAUAAGGUCAUAGGAACAGAAGACAUGGCUUAGAGAAAAGAAACCAACAUUUAUCUUAAAUCAUAGACUUCUAGUAACUUCAACUGUACAGCAAGUAUUGCUGUACAGACUUUUGAGAAACUUGACACUUCUUUCUUGUGAUCAAGUUGUCUCUUUUGCUAUCUUGAGACUUUUCUAGUGAUCUGCAUCUUUUGCAAGAUUGGUCCUGCUGCUAAACACUUUGUUUUUGCUCUUUAGGGGUAUGAACACCUUUCACAGAACUGCUUGUUAGCAACCUUGCAUAACUGGUUUCUCAGUUUGGUUUUUCUUUCACCCCUUUGACCCUUUUCAUUCUUUAACUUCCUUGGGGGGAGGAGUGAUUAGGGUGGAGGGAAAAAAAAAGCUACAUUGACCCUGUAGCUCUGCUUUCUAAAAGUGCUAUUUCCUGUGGUCUUUAAAAGCAUGUUGAAUAGAUUCUCCUACAGUCUUCUUUUGCUGAGUCUAAGUAGGUAAAUAGGAGCAGGUAGGCAGUGGAGCCCUGAGAGCUCAGAGCUGCUGAGUCAGUAUGACAGCAUCUGCUGGGAAUCCCUCCUUCCCCACACCACUGAAUAGGGUCAUGGUCUCCUUUGACCCUAUCAGCACUGCAAACAUAUCUCCAUUACAGAGACAGCUUUCCCUCUCACUACUCUUGUGUGCUGAACAGGGAUGGAUACCUCUUUAUGGAGAAGCAAGACUGAGCCACGAUGAAAGUUUUGACUCCCACCUGGAAUAUGCUGUAGAAGGGGCACACUUUAAACCCACUAGAUGUGUGAAUAGUGGAAAUUUAGACAAGAAUUGGUACCUGCAGAGGGCUGACCCUGAGCAGCUCUCCAGUACUCACCUAGCUGCUCCACUGCAACAGACUCAGGGGAGAAAAUAAAUGGAAAAGCUUGAGGGCUAGGGAAAAUUAACUUACUGCCUGUUAAAAUGGAUUGGAUAGUGAAAAACAAAAUAAACAACAGUUCUUCCCAAUCUGUAUUCCACUAUGCCCCUUCCCUCAUGUCUCUCCUACCUGGUGGGGUAGUGGGAUGGCAGCUCCGGUCUGAUACAGCUCCUUUCUUCUCUUCCUUUUUAUUUAUGCUUUCCCUCUGCAGCCCUUGGAAGGAGCCAUGUAGGAACAUCAGGACAAAGCUGCUCUCCCCAGGGGCUGCAGGAGAAUCUCUGCUCAGUGGCGCCAUUUUCUCUCACCUCAGUGCUGCAGAAUGGGCGCCAUUUUCUCUCCUCUCACCUCAGUGCUGUAAAGGGGCGCCAUUUUCUCUCCUCUCACCUUAGCGCUGCAGAGCGGGCGCCAUUUUCUCUCCUCUCACCUCAGUGCUGUAGAGCAGCACCAUUUUCUCUCCUCUCACCUCAGCGCUUCAGGUGUUUCUGCCACUUUUUCCCUCAACCCUCACUGCCUGGCAGAGCAUUUUGCACUUUCUUAAACACCUUUACCCAGAGCCCCACCAGCAUACUGCUGGGCUCAGCUGCAGCCUUGGUGUUUCCUGAGGGGUCUGGAACCUUCUGGAACCCUAUGGAAGCACCGACUAUCCACAGCCCUCAGUGGGCAUGGGCACCCAGCACCCUGCCUGAAAUAAAACCUGCAGCUUGCAAGGUUUGGGAAGCAGUGUUAAUAGGAGGGCAGUGCAGCCUCAUAGAGUGCUUUAAGUCUGGGACCUGAUGUAGAGUUGUGUGCUGAGGUAAAGCCCUGUGUCAGGCUGGGGAGAGCAGGCAGCAAAUGGAAGGAUCUGGAAAUGAUUGCUAAUGCGAAGAAAUGAAGUCUCACAGGUGCAGACUUGUGGGAAAGAUGGCUGUGGUCAGGAUAUUAAAAAUAAACAGUUCCAGUGGGAAGGAUAGUGACCUGGAAGCAGGGGUACAGAGCUGGGGCUUGUGAGGUGGCCGUGUCUGCCUUAGGCAGCUGCCACCAUACUGCAGCAGUCUGUUACAAAUGAGAUGCUCCUGUGAGCACUUGUGGCUGGAAAGGAAAGCCUAAUAGAAACUAAAAAAUGCAUGCUUUUAGUAAGAGACCACUCAGAGCAAGGAGGGAGAAUGAAACUGACGUAAGGUGUUUGCCUGCAGUGCUUCCCUUGGCCGCUCAGUCCUGUCAGCUGGAGCUUUGGGCUGGACCACUGGCAAACCGCUAGUGAGGCCUCCAUCAGCCUCGAGGCUUGUCCUUGUGCCACAGGCUGGCACCAGCUCCUCCCUGGGACUCCUCUCCCUGCCAUUGCCCUUUUCCCCAUCCAGGCUCUGCACCUCCCUGAGGAUGGGGCAGGUUUCUUCCUGCCCUUCUUUUAAAAGCAAAUGAUAAAUGGUGAAUGCACAAAGCUAAAUGUAGCUAGUAAGUGCCUUGGCGGCAGAUGCCUGCCUUCAGUCUCACCUCUGGGCUGGAAAAUGUGAAUUUAUUGUCACAGUAAUGCUGCUGAAAGUGUCCUGGUGGCAGAUAUGGGGGAAGAGUUUUGCAGGGCUAUUGUGUUUACUGGCUAGCUGGGGAGAAGUCUGUUUGCCUGAAAGCUGGUCUGUCAACCUGAAAGAACCAACCCCAGCAAGAACAAAUGUUCACCGCAGCUGUCUGUAGGGAAUGUUUCUCCUGCGAUGACCUUGGAAAACAGUGUAGAAGAAAUGGAUUAAUGUACGCUUUUUUCCCAGGCAGUAUUUUCCCAUUUGGCCUCUGCUGACAACUAUUAUCUGUAGAGUUCUGUUUCGCCUGCACGAGGUAAGAUCUGGAUGCUGAGGAGUGAGAGCAGCACAGUGGCUGUAUUUGCAAGACCUGGUGAAAAAGUGACUUAGAUGCAUCGUGGUCCCAGUGAAGUGAUUCCUUGGUUUCGUGGGGAGCUUCCUCAUGGUAUAUGAACCUCAUCUGAAGUGCUCCCAACUCUGCUGCUGUAAACUCAGUAGUACCAACUGAGAUGUGCUGGACUGGAGAGGAGCAAGCUCUGGAUGGAGCAGGCUGUGGGCAGUGCUGUGCAAGGUAAGGGAGAGAGGGAUUUUGUAAUCUUGUGGUGCGUAGGGGGCCCUGCUCCUGGUGAGGCUGGAUGCUUGGCCUGGGGUGGGUUUGAGUCUAGGGGUGGCAUUAGAGGGCGUUUCUGGCAGUUGAUGUUUGAAAGGUUUUGAGUGAUCUCCUUCACUGCAGUGCUUUCUCCAAGUUUUCAUCCAUGCUGAAGUGAUUUACACCAUUUCUGAGUUGUGGCUGUGCAACUGAAAGUUUUGUCUUGGAGUUGUUUUUCAUGUGUAAUUUGAACUUCUUCUAAUGAAGCAGGAGAAAGACUAUUUCCUAGUGAAAUGGGUCUUUGAUGGCUCAUGCGUCUUGUUCCUGCCUGCUUCACCAUGACCAAUAACUAUUUUGCUAAUAGUUGCAGCACAAGUGAUGUCUGGUUCUGGAUUAGCCUCAAGCCUUAGGACCAGAGAAAGAAGCGAUGGAGUGGGCAUAGAGGAUCACUUUUCUGGCUAAAUUAACCUAUGUGGCAGAAAUGCUAAGUCACAGCCUGAAGCAGUGAUUGUACACCUGGUGGGAAGGCAGGGCCAACCCAGGUGUG